UCCACGCCCUAAACGAUGUCUACUAGUUGUUGGUGGAGUAAAAUCCAUGAGUAACGCAGCUAACGCGUGAAGUAGACCGCCUGGGGAGUACGGUCGCAAGAUUAAAACUCAAAUGAAUUGACGGGGGCCCGCACAAGCGGUGGAUUAUGUGGAUUAAUUCGAUGCAACGCGAAAAACCUUACCUGGCCUUGACAUGUACCGAAUUUGGGAGAGAUUCCUUAGUGCUCGAAAGAGAACGGUAACACAGGUGCUGCAUGGCUGUCGUCAGCUCGUGUCGUGAGAUGUUGGGUUAAGUCCCGCAACGAGCGCAACCCUUGCCAUUAAUUGCCAUCAUUUAGUUGGGCACUUUAAUGGGACUGCCGGUGACAAACCGGAGGAAGGUGGGGAUGACGUCAAGUCCUCAUGGCCCUUAUGGCCAGGGCUUCACACGUAAUACAAUGGUCGGUACAGAGGGUUGCCAACCCGCGAGGGGGAGCCAAUCCCAGAAAGCCGAUCGUAGUCCGGAUUGUAGUCUGCAACUCGACUACAUGAAGUCGGAAUCGCUAGUAAUCGCGGAUAAGCAUGUCGCGGUGAAUACGUUCCCGGGCCUUGUACACACCGCCCGUCACACCAUGGGAGUGGGUUUUACCAGAAGUAGGUAGUCUAACCGUAAGGAGGACGCUUACCACGGUAGUAUU
rnacentral:rRNA from 1 species